CCUACGGGUGGCUGCAGGCGCGAAAACUUUACAAUGCCGGCAACGGCGAUAAGGGGACCUCGAGUGCCAGGUUACAAAUCUGGCUGUCGUGAUGCCUAAAAAGCAUUGCAUAGCAAGGGCCGGGCAAGACCGGUGCCAGCCGCCGCGGUAACACCGGCGGCUCGAGUGGUAACCGUUAUUAUUGGGUCUAAAGGGUCUGUAGCCGGCCAGAUAAGUCUCUUGAGAAAUCCAGCAGCUCAACUGUUGGGCUUUCAGGAGAUACUGUCUGGCUCGAGGCCGGGAGAGGUGAGAGGUACUUCAGGGGUAGGGGUGAAAUCUUGUAAUCCUUGAAGGACCACCAGUGGCGAAGGCGUCUCACCAGAACGGACCUGACGGCAAGGGACGAAAGCUAGGGGCACGAACCGGAUUAGAUACCCGUGUAGUCA
rnacentral:rRNA from 1 species